rnacentral:rRNA from 1 species
AUGACGGUUUGCCCCUCCCCUUGUCGUUCCUCUCUUGACCUCCUCUCUUUUUUCACCGCCGCUCCUCAAUCUGUGAUGACAAGGUCUCUUUUCAUCCUACAGGCGAGGAGACCCAUCAGAAGUGGUGCAUGCGUGCGGCAUGCCAUUAGAGAAGAAAGGCUCAUGUAUGAAGAACGUUGGCACCAGCCUAUGUGCCACCAUCCGCAUAGAAGACGAGGUAGUGUUACCAGAUGCGUACACAGUUCAUGUGAAGUAACCCCUCAUUGCUUCGAUGCUGAUUCAGUGGAUUACCAGUUCACCACCACCGCCAUUGAAGACAUGGCGGUUGUUUUGUUUGUUCAGAUGCAGGUUCUCUUCUAG